GGCCAAUCAGGGCUGGGGAAGGGAGUCUGAGGAGGAAGCGGAUCCGCGACGGUGCAGCGAGACCGCCCCGAACUCUGGGCUCCGUCUCCCUCCGCCGCUGUGGGCGCCUGAGACGGCCGGGGCUGGGACGGCGCUGCCAGGCGGGCUGGGGCGGACGUGGAGACGGAGGGAGACGGCGGCGUCCGUGGAGAGUUCGGGGAGCGGGGGCCGCAGCGGCGGAGGCCGAGUUCCCCGGAGGACCCCGCCUCGGAGCGGGCGGCGGCGGCGGAGGAGACUGAGGGGGCAGGAUGGCGGCCUCGGCCCUGUACGCCUGCACCAAGUGUACCCAGCGCUAUCCCUUCGAGGAGCUCUCCCAGGGCCAGCAGCUCUGCAAGGAAUGUCGGAUUGCACAUCCUAUUGUAAAGUGCACUUACUGCAGAUCAGAAUUCCAACAAGAGAGCAAAACGAACACAAUUUGUAAGAAGUGUGCUCAAAAUGUGAAGCAAUUUGGGACGCCCAAACCUUGUCAGUACUGUAACAUAAUUGCGGCAUUUAUUGGUACCAAGUGUCAGCGUUGCACAAAUUCAGAAAAAAAGUAUGGACCACCUCAGACUUGUGAACAGUGCAAACAGCAGUGUGCUUUUGAUCGGAAGGAGGAAGGAAGAAGAAAGGUUGAUGGGAAGUUGUUGUGCUGGCUCUGUACCUUAUCAUACAAGAGAGUUUUACAGAAGACGAAAGAGCAGAGGAAGACUCUGGGGUCCUCACAUUCAAAUUCGUCUUCAGCUCUUCCCGAGAAAGACCAGCAUCAUUCAAAGCACCACCACCACCACCAUCACCAUCGUCAUAGCAGUAGCCAUCACAAAAUCAGCAGUUUAAGUCCUGAACAAGAGCAGGGACUGUGGAAACAGAGCCAUAAAUCCUCUGCAGCAAUCCAGAAUGAAACUCCAAAGAAAAAGCCCAAAUUGGAAACCAAGCCAUCUAAUGGAGAUAGUAGCUCUAUAAAUCAGUCAGCAGAUAGUGGGGGAACAGACAAUUUUGUCCUCAUAAGUCAACUGAAAGAAGAAGUGAUGUCGCUUAAGCGUCUCUUACAGCAAAGAGACCAGACAAUUUUAGAGAAAGACAAAAAGUUAACAGAACUAAAGGCAGAUUUUCAAUAUCAAGAAUCAAACUUGAGAACAAAGAUGAACAGCAUGGAAAAAGCUCACAAAGAAACGGUGGAGCAGCUUCAGGCCAAAAACAGAGAACUACUCAAACAGGUUGCAGCACUGUCAAAGGGGAGCUACUCAAUAUUUUCCUCAGGCAACAUGCUAGUCUGAAUGCAGUGGAAUGUUCAGGAUUGGUCACCAGUUCUGAAGAAAAGUAUCCAAGAAGUUACGUGAUUAGAGAAGGCUGGAAACUGAACUUGACUAAUAAUGUUCAGGCUGGUUUCCAAGAUAAAAAGGGACGGGCAGGCAACAACCCUAAAGAAAACUGGGCCUUUUAGGGAAAUGAAGAAACUUCAUAAUAAAAAUGCACGUAAUUUUUAACUGUAAGAAAUGACAACUUCAGAAUGAGAAAAAUAUCUCAAGUUACUGUUUCUCACCUCUGGACCAGCAAAAUCCCAAGUCACAUUUUACUGACAAGAUACUGGUGAAACAUCUACUCAGACAUUGCUUUGGUCAUUACAGCACUGUCUCUCUGAAGGUUGAAUGAGCAGAUUCAAUCAGAUUUAAACAAGAUUUAUGUGGUUGUCAUGCAUGUGAAAAACCAAGAGCUAAUAAUAGUUACAGACUUGAUUAUUUAAGGGAAUACUCCAAAUCUCCACACACUGUUACAGCAUGGCUGAGCAAACGGAAGCCACCAGGCAGAUUUCUAACGUCAUCGUCUGUGCGCUCCUGUGGUUACCAGCAUGGACCACAGUGAUCAUCUGCUGUCAGUGAGGUGGGCUGCUUCCUAGUCUAUAAAUAUCUCUGUAGUUGCUUAGAGUGGAGGGAGUAGGGAUAUUUGUCUAGUUAGUCUUUUGUUUGAGUAAAGGAAUAGGAAACUUUUAUAAUAAAAUUUCUUUUAAAACAAAAUACUACAUUUUCCCCAUGUUCUCAAUGUUUGUGUAUUCAUUCUAUCUGCCGAAGUUGAAGUAUUAGAGUCAAAAAACCUUUGGAAAUGUUUGAAAAGAUAUACAAAACAAACAUUUGGAUUAGGAAUAGGACUAUGAACUCAGCUGGCACAUUGAAUUGCUCAUAAUAGAAUAUGAGAUUAAAAGUCACAGUUGCAGAGCAAUUUUGGUUCAGUAGUGAAGAUACCGCUUGUGAUGCCUGGGCCUCAUAUGGGAAUCCCUUGGUCUGAAUCCAUGCUCCAGUUCUGGCUUCCUGUUAAUGAGCACUUUGCAGGGCAGCACAUGAUGCUUCAAGUAUUGAGUCUCUACCAUCCAUUUGAGAGAUGUCUGAAACCUCAAGCCCCUGACUCUGAUCUGGCUUACACUUGGCUCUUUGUGAACCAUUUAGAGAUUAAGCCAACAGAUGGGAAAUCCCCUCCCCCAACACCCUUCAAAUAAGUGAGUUUUAACAAGUUG